UGAAUACGAGAUGCUACGGCGUCGAAGCAGUCUAUGUCAUACUUCCAAGAAAAGCUUGCACUGUCAUAAACAAAUAAUGCCUGUACCAUAACCGACACAGGUGGGUAGGUAGAGUAUACUAAGGGGCGCGAGAUAACUCUCUCUAAGGAACUCGGCAAAAUGACUCCGUAACUUCGGGAGAAGGAGUGCCUUAUUUAUAAGGUUGCAAUAACAAGAUCCAAGCAACUGUUUACCAAAAACACAGGUCUCCGCUAAGUCGUAAGACGAUGUAUGGGGGCUGACGCCUGCCCAGUGCCAGAAGGUUAAAGAAGUUGGUUAGCAUCCGCGAAGCUGAUAACUGAAGCCCUGGUGAACGGCGGCCGUAACAAUAACGGUCCUAAGGUAGCGAAAUUCCUUGUCGGGUAAGUUCCGACCCGCACGAAAGGCGUAAUGAUUUGGAUACUGUCUCGGAGAGGGGCUCGGUGAAAUAGACUUGUCUGUGAAGAUGCGGACUACCUGCACCAGGACAGAAAGACCCUAUGAAGCUUUACUGUAACCUGAAAUUGAAAUUGGACUUUACUUGCGCAGUAUAGGUGGGAGGCGUUGAGAAUAUUCUUGCGGGAUUAUUGGAGCCAUCAGUGAGAUACCACUCUUGUAAUGUUAGAUUUCUAACUUUGUAUCAUUAUCUGGUCAAAGAACAGUUUCAGGCGGGCAGUUUGACUGGGGCGGUCGCCUCCUAAACGGUAACGGAGGCGCACAAAGGUUUCCUCUGAACGGGUAGAAAUCGUAUCUAGAGUGUAAAGGCAUAAGGAAGCUUGACUGUGAGACCUACAAGUCGAGCAGGGACGAAAGUCGGUCUUAGUGAUCUGACGGUGCUGAGUGGAAAGGCCGUCACUCAACGGAUAAAAGUUACUCUAGGAUAACAGGCUGAUCUCACCCAAGAGUUCACAUCGACGGGGAGGUUUGGCACCUCGAUGUCGGCUCAUCGCAUCCUGGGGCGGUAGUACGUCCCAAGGGUUGGGCUGUUCGCCCAUGAAAGCGGUACGCGAGCUGGGUUCAGAACGUCGUGAGACAGUUCGGUCCAUAUCCGGUGUAGGCGUUAGAAUAUUGAGAGGAGCCUUCUUUAGUACGAGAGGACCGAGAAGGACAUACCUCUGGUGUACCAGUUAUCGUGCCAACGGUAAACGCUGGGUAGCUAUGUGUGGAGUGGAUAACCGCUGAAAGCAUCUAAGUGGGAAGCCCACCUCAAGAUAAG
rnacentral:rRNA from 1 species